ACUCCCCAAGCCGUUUAUUAGUCCCCUUCCACAAAUGGCUCCGUGGCCGCGUUCCCAAACUGUCCCAGCCAGUGUACACUCUUCGGAUUGGGGUUGCAGAACAGUAGCACGUGAAUAAUUUGUCCCCAGCAGAGCCACCGUAGCUCGCUUCUAGGCGCGUGCGCGGCCUGUGCGGCGAGUACGCGGCAAGUGGUAGCGCCCCCGCGCCGGGGUCCCGAGGUGGGUUGGCGGUGUCCGGCCACAGUUCUGGGACGCGGCAGGCGCUCAGUUGCCACACUCGCCGAGUGAGAGGAUUUAGGGAUGUCGGGGCCUGUACAUUUCCCUCGCUAAUAAGUAUUGCUGUAGUCAACUUUGCGGAGGGCGGAACGGAGCCCAGCCCGCGUGGCGGCCGCAUCCGCCCUCGCCCGCGGCUCCCGCCAGCCGGCUCGGCUGGGCCCGCCUCGCGGGUCCGCCUCUGGGAGCGACAUUGCACCGCCUCGGGGACCCACAGCCCUUCGGGAGUGCGCACGGGCCCCUGUUACGCUCUCGUGCGCAGCCCUGGAGCGGGCUCGAGGCGGUGAGACCCCGACAGGCCUGCAGGCGGGGUCGGCCCAAAGGGGUAGAACUUGCUUCUGAGUGCUGUGAACUCAGCCGGAAGAGCCAACCCCACGAGGCACCAGGGUCUCCAGUUCUCGCGUGUUUUAAGUGCGUCCCUCUCCCCUUUCCUCUAGAUGCCCCGCAUAUCACCAAUGGCCACCACCUCUGCGUCUCCCCUUUAGGAGAGUGUGCUUGGGAGCCGAAGGAUUCCAAGCCAAGAUGAGAAAACACGAGCCCACAGAUUGCUCUCUGUCUCACCCAGAGGGCGAGCCCAGCACUCAGGAUGGUCUCGUGUUACGUGGUGCAUCAGCCUGUCGCUGUCCUGACUCCCAUCUCCAGUCACCUGGCGUCCUUACUCCUUGAAACUCCAGGAAGACCUUUCCGAACGUGCACUGGUGCUUUCUUUCUGAAAUUCUGUGGUUUAUUUUAUGUUCAGCUCCUUGACACAUGCUGCGUCUUUGAUAAUUUGGAUUUAAAUCUUUGAGGCGCCAGAAAGGGAAGGAUGCGGCAGGAAUCCAGCUUUUCCUUGCUAACAAUUUGUCAGCGGAUCCGUGUUUUUCCCCCUCCUUGUUUAAAAUGUCACCUUUACCAGAAACUAAAAUGCCAUAUGUAUUUGGGUCUAUUUUUGGAUUCUCUAUUUUGUUUCACGGAUGUCUGUUUUUUUUCCCCCCAGCAUUAAAACAGUUUUACAUUUUGCUCACUGCCUGAGUUUUACUAAGCAGAAGCAUUCUCUUUCCUCAACCAAAGAGUCAAAGCUAAACUCAGGCACAAAGCAUACAGGCAGUGGAGUGCAUCCGAGCAGGGCUGUGUGGAAGGAAGGUGAAUGUGUGGCCACUGGCAAAGGGUAGUGGGUUGUAGGUGCCAGGCGUACAAAGGUGUAAUGUUCUUGUAGAUUCUUGAUUGGGAAGGAAUGCUCUGUGCACACAUAAAACUGCACGUUAGGCAAAUAAUACAUAAUCGGCCCAGUAUCUUGGGGCAAAGUCUGAUUUCAUUUGAAAGAAGUCGUGUACCUAGUGACUCGCUGAUUAAUUAUUCUUAAUUUAAGUGGUUAACAGUGGAACCAAGCUGCAGGCAUCUGGUUUCCCAUGGCUGUGGGAAGGAGGUGAGCAGUGACCUGCUUCACAGAAAUGGGAACUGAUGUCGUGAAUCUGGCUGCCUUCCACCUUGGAGAAGUGGCUCUGUUUUCUGGAAAGAACAAGGCCUUUAAAUAACCCAAUAUGCUUUAAUUUUACUAUUUUGGAUGGUUAGCUCUCUCACAGGCACGGCAGCCAUCCUUCUCUUAUUUGUAAAAUGUUCAUGACCGUAGUUCAGGCACAGUUGUUAAAUAAAUGAGGUAGUACAGGCAAGCCACAGUCCCGGGGCCACCUGAUCCUUCUGGCCUGUGUUGGAGCAGCCACUCUUGGACUCUUUUUAUAUUUGAUUUUUCUCAUGGUUGCCUCCUUACCUCUGUGUAUUAUAUGUGUGCUGCUCCUUGAUACAUCAAUUUUAAUUAUUAUUAUUUUUUAUAUUUUUUAAGAGAGGGAAAGGGGCAGAGGGCAAGGAAGAGAAUCUUUUUUUUUCUUCCAAUAUUUAUUUAUUUAUUUAUUUAUUUAUUUAUU